rnacentral:rRNA from 1 species
AUAGCCCUACAGUACUCUUGUAAGGUGAAGCCUGCCCAAUGACUGUUAAUAAUCCAAUUAAAACCAGUUCAAUGGCCGCGGUAACUCUGACCGUGAUAAAGUAGCAUAAUCACUUGUCACUUAAUUAGUGACUGGAAUGAAUGGCUAAACGAAUCCUCCUCUGUCUCUGAAAGAACUCCGGCGAAUUUGAAAUAACAGUGAAGAUGCUGUUAAAUAAUUGUAAGACGAAAAGACCCUAUCGAGCUUUACUGAAAGCUUGUAAACAAAUAUGGUUAUCACCAACGAACUCUUAAAAAUUGCAAGCCUGACAGUUUGGUUGGGGCGACCACCCCUAAAAAAGUAUCAGGGGAACUCUAAAGGUUACCAUAAUAUGGAAAAUUGCCUUACUGGAGACAAACAAGUCAAUCAGUUAUAAUUUAUAGGACAUAUUGACCCGUUAUUUUGUUCAUAAUAAAUAACGACUAUGAAAAAAGUUACCGUAGGGAUAACAGGGUAAUAUUUUCAGAGAGUUCAUAUCGAUGAAAAUGUUUGCCACCUCGAUGUUGAAUUAUGAUAUCCUAAGGGUGCAGCAGCUCUUAAGGGUUGGUCUGUUCGACCAUUAAAAUCAUACAUGAUUUGAGUUCAUUCCGUCGUAAGA